UACGUAGGGGGCAAGCGUUGUCCGGAUUUAUUGGGCGUAAAGAGCUCGUAGGCGGUUCCGUAAGUCGGAUGUGAAAAAUCUGGGCUCAACCCAGUGGAGCACCCGAUACUGCGGUGACUCGAGUCCGGUAGGGGAGUGUGGAAUUCCUGGUGUAGCGGUGAAAUGCGCAGAUAUCAGGAGGAACACCGACGGCGAAGGCAGCACUCUGGGCCGGUACUGACGCUGAGGAGCGAAAGCAUGGGGAGCGAACAGG
rnacentral:rRNA from 1 species